rnacentral:rRNA from 1 species
UGAGGAAUAUUGGUCAAUGGGCGGAAGCCUGAACCAGCCAAGUAGCGUGCAGGAUGACGGCCCUACGGGUUGUAAACUGCUUUUAGGCGGGGGUAAAGGAGCGGACGCGUUCCGCUUUUGCAAGUACCGCCAGAAAAAGGACCGGCUAAUUCCGUGCCAGCAGCCGCGGUAAUACGGAAGGUUCGGGCGUUAUCCGGAUUUAUUGGGUUUAAAGGGAGCGUAGGCCGUUGUUUAAGCGUGUUGUGAAAUGUCCCGGCUCAACCGUGGCACUGCAGCGCGAACUGGACGACUUGAGUGCGCGGAACGUAUGCGGAAUUUGUGGUGUAGCGGUGAAAUGCUUAGAUAUCACGAAGAACUCCGAUUGCGAAGGCAGCAUACGGCAGCGCUACUGACGCUGAAGCUCGAAAGCGCGGGUAUCGAACAGGAUUAGAUACCCUGGUAGU